GGAAGUAAAAGUCGUAACAAGGUCUCCGUUGGUGAACCAGCGGAGGGAUCAUUACAGAGUUACACAACUCACCAAACCAUUGUGAACCGACCCUUCUGUUGCUUCGGCGGGAGGCGCCUCGGCGCCCCUCGGCCGAUCCCCCGCCCCCGCGGCGUGGGGGGAGGCUCCCGCCGGAGGAAUACCCCAAACCCUUUGCAGCACAUGGCCUCUCUGAGUUUAUGUACUGAAUAAGUCAAAACUUUCAACAACGGAUCUCUUGGUUCUGGCAUCGAUGGAGAACGCAGCGAAAUGCGAUAAGUAAUGUGAAUUGCAGAAUUCAGUGAAUCAUCGAAUCUUUGAACGCACAUUGCGCCCGCCGGUAUUCCGGCGGGCAUGCCUGUUCGAGCGUCAUUUCAACCAUCAAGCCCUGGGCUUGUGUUGGGGACCUGCGGCUGCCGCAGGCCCUGAAAUGCAGUGGCGGGCUCGCAAGACACACCGAGCGUAGUAGCUUACAACCUCGCUUUGGGAGUGCUGCGGGUGCUGGCCGUAAAGCGACCUUUGCGUCUUUAGCACUAGGUUGACCUCGGAUCAGGUAGGAGGACCCGCUGAACUUAAGCAUAUUAGUCAGCGGAGGA
rnacentral:rRNA from 1 species